AUUAAUAACCAUGCCACUUUGAGCGUGCCUAAUCUUGUCUGAUCUCAGAAGCUCAGCAGGUUCUGGCUUGGUUAGUACUUGGAUGGCAUAUGCCAAGUUUCUUGAUC
rnacentral:rRNA from 1 species